CACCUUGCGAUGGGCAGGGGUGGAAUACUCUUCCGACGGAGGAACCAUCACGGCUUUCUUGCCCGGGAUCCCCUCCACUCGACGCUUCGCCAAGGCACAAAAUCUGCACAACAUACCAAGAAUAACCAACUGAAAAUGGAUUGAGAUGCCCAGACAAGCAUGAUUAAUGCCAAGGCAGAGAGAGAAUGAACACACCCAUCAGCAAAUGCAGCAAAGCACACAGCAUGCGUGGAAACUGCCUUUCUGGAACUCUGAGACAACAGCAAAAGCAAGAGUCUUGUGACCUUUGAAGAUGUGGCCGUGUAUUUCAUAGAAAGCCAGGGUGCCCUGCUGGACCCAGACCAAAAGAUUUUGUAUAAAGAUGUCAUGAUGGAGAA